rnacentral:rRNA from 1 species
CCUACGGGUGACCGCAGUGAGGAAUAUUGGUCAAUGGACGAGAGUCUGAACCAGCCAAGUAGCGUGAAGGAUGACUGCCCUAUGGGUUGUAAACUUCUUUUAUAAAGGAAUAAAACGAGGCACGUGUGCCUUUUUGCAUGUACUUUAUGAAUAAGGAUCGGCUAACUCCGUGCCAGCAGCCGCGGUAAUACGGAGGAUCCGAGCGUUAUCCGGAUUUAUUGGGUUUAAAGGGAGCGUAGAUGGGUUGUUAAGUCAGUUGUGAAAGUUUGCGGCUCAACCGUAAAAUUGCAAUUGAUACUGGUAGUCUUGAGUACAGUUGAGGUAGGCGGAAUUCGUGGUGUAGCGGUGAAAUGCUUAGAUAUCACGAAGAACCCCGAUUGCGAAGGCAGCUUACUAAACUGUGACUGACAUUGAUGCUCGAAAGUGUGGGUAUCAAACAGGAUUAGAUACCCUUGUAGUC